rnacentral:lncRNA from 1 species
UUUAUUUAGUUUAAGGAAAGCAAAGUACAUGGAUGUGAACAACAAGAUCUCUUGUAUAUAUAUCCCAAAAGAUCAUAUUAUUCGAAUUGAAGCAAACCUACAUGCACUCACACAAUUGAGAUGCUAUGGUGCCCAUAACAACUUUUUAUUUUAGUACUACACUUAACCAGAUUCAUUAGGAUUUCUCCUAUAUUGAGGGACUCUAAGAAAAUCAAGAUCGUUAUUCCCUAUACCAUCAUCAAUAAUACAGCCAUGGAAAGGAGCGAUGCUAGCCUCCGACCAUUCCUUAUUUCCUGAAAAUUUCAAAUCUGAAUACUUGUUCAUAAAGGCAUAUAUUAAUUAAUAUAAGAAUUAUAAAUAGAAUUCAACAUAACAUGGCCUGAUGAAUUACCAGCACAAAUAGUUUCCAUAUUCUUCGAAUCAGAAAAGAUCUUUGCAAGCUUCUGUACUAGUAGUUAAGUAGCUUCAGCGAGUCCUUUGAUUGUGGUUGCU